UCGAACGAGAAAGUGGAGCAAUCCAUGAGUACAGUGGCGCACGGGUGAGUAACACGUGACUAACCUACCCUGGAGUGGGGGAUAACUGAGGGAAACCUUAGCUAAUACCGCAUAAUACCUACGGGUCAAAGGAGCAAUUCGCUUUGGGAGGGGGUCGCGGCCGAUUAGUUAGUUGGCGGGGUAAUGGCCCACCAAGACAGUGAUCGGUAUCCGGCCUGAGAGGGCGCACGGACACACUGGAACUGAAACACGGUCCAGACUCCUACGGGAGGCAGCAGUGGGGAAUUUUGCGCAAUGGGGGAAACCCUGACGCAGCAACGCCGCGUGGAGGAUGAAGUCCUUCGGGACGUAAACUCCUUUCGAUCGGGACGAUAAUGACGGUACCGGAAGAAGAAGCCCCGGCUAACUUCGUGCCAGCAGCCGCGGUAAUACGAGGGGGGCGAGCGUUGUUCGGAAUUAUUGGGCGUAAAGGGUGCGUAGGCGGUUUGGUAAGUCUUAUGUGAAAUCUAUGGGCUCAACUCAUAGACUGCAUGAGAAACUGCCGGGCUUGAGUAUGGGAGAGGUGAGUGGAAUUCCUGGUGUAGCGGUGAAAUGCGUAGAUAUCAGGAGGAACACCUGUGGCGAAAGCGGCUCACUGGACCAUAACUGACGCUGAUGCACGAAAGCUAGGGGAGCAAACAGGAUUAGAUACCCUGGUAGUCCUAGCCCUAAACGAUGACUGCUUGGUGUGACGGGUACCCAAUCCCGCCGUGCCGUAGCUAACGCGUUAAGCAGUCCGCCUGGGGAGUACGGUCGCAAGGCUGAGACUCA
rnacentral:rRNA from 1 species